CCUACGGGUGGCAGCAGUGAGGAAUAUUGGUCAAUGGCCGCAAGGCUGAACCAGCCAAGCCGCGUGAAGGACGAAGGUUCCAUGCAUUGUAAACUUCUUUUGUCAAGGGACAAAAUCAGGCUCGAGAGCCUGUCCGAGAGUACUUUAAGAAUAAGGAUCGGCUAACUCCGUGCCAGCAGCCGCGGUAAUACGGAGGAUUCAAGCGUUAUCCGGAUUUAUUGGGUUUAAAGGGUGCGUAGGCGGUCGGGUAAGUUAGCGGUGAAAUCCCGGGGCUCAACCUCGGCAGUGCCUGUGAUACUGGUCGGCUAGAGAGGAGGAGAGGUAGGCGGAAUGUGUGGUGUAGCGGUGAAAUGCUUAGAGAU
rnacentral:rRNA from 1 species